rnacentral:rRNA from 1 species
GAUGAACGCUGGCGGCGUGCCUAAUACAUGCAAGUCGAGCGAACGGACGAGAAGCUUGCUUCUCUGAUGUUAGCGGCGGACGGGUGAGUAACACGUGGAUAACCUCCCUAUAAGACUGGGAUAACUUCGGGAAACCGGAGCUAAUACCGGAUAAUAUUUUGAACCGCUUGGUUCAAAAGUGAAAGACGGUCUUGCUGUCACUUUUAGAUGGUUCCGCGCUGCAUUAGCUAGUUGGUAAGGUAACGGCUUACCAAGGCAACGAUGCAUAGCCGACCUGAGAGGGUGAUCGGCCACACUGGAACUGAGACACGGUCCAGACUCCUACGGGAGGCAGCAGUAGGGAAUCUUCCGCAAUGGGCGAAAGCCUGACGGAGCAACGCCGCGUGAGUGAUGAAGGUCUUCGGAUCGUAAAACUCUGUUAUUAGGGAAGAACAUAUGUGUAAGUAACUGUGCACAUCUUGACGGUACCUAAUCAGAAAGCCACGGCUAACUACGUG